UUAACUUUAGUUUUUCAUAUUAACUUUAACGUCAUACCAAUUAGUUAACUACAUAUGACAACUUAGUCAUUUUCAAAAAUUUUAAAUAAUUUUAAUAACACAGAUGUCGCUAGGAACUAUUGUUUCCGUCAGCAGGCUGUCGUUUUGAAUAUUGUCAGUAACAGCUGUUCUUUGUACGAAUGGUGGCCAUUUUGUAAAAAAAAACACAUUAAAUGUGAUUUUUAACAUUUAAGGGUUUUUUACCCUAACCAGUGGUUAUAUCCCUGGGUUAAUUUUUAAAAUAUAGAAUGUGUUUGUUCGAAGUUUUCUCUUCUUUUGAGGUUUUUACACCUAUAAGACGAUAGCUCUGAUGAUGGCAUUAAUAUGCUGAAAGUACUUAGCUGAUUUAAUAAAUUAAUUUACACAC
rnacentral:lncRNA from 1 species